UUUGUUGAAGAAGAGCCCUUUCUUACUACCAUUCCUCCUGCUGCUGCUGCUGCUGCGGAAAGAAGAGAAGGGGUUUCCACAUCGAUUAAUUCCAGACUACAGAUCUCAUUCUCCACUUCCUUACCAUACUCCUUGGCAGUAGUAUCUUUUCCCAUAGGUUAAUGAAGAAUCAUUAAGAUCGUUUAGAACAGACAAGAGGACAUAUAGGGCACUGCCAUAGAAUCCUAUAUGGCUAAACGUAUAUUCACGUCUCCCCUUUUUUCAGAAGAUUAUUAUAACCAAAACAGGAAAUUCCAUUUGAUCCUUGUCUAGUGAACUAAGCGAUUCCACAUGCAAGAUGAUCCCUUCUGUUCUGAAUGGUUUUGAUGGAUGUCCCAUAAUUACUCAGCUGGAAAUGGACAACAAAAAACAUCUAUCAUCUGAAUUUAGUAACUGCUUGAAAUUCCAUUGUAUAAAGAAAGAA